UGGGGAAUAUUGGGCAAUGGGCGAAAGCCUGACCCAGCCACGCCGCGUGAGUGAUGAAGGCCUUCGGGUCGUAAAGCUCUGUGGGGAGGGACGAACAAGGUGCGUGCUAAUAUCACGUGCCCCUGACGGUACCUCCUUAGCAAGUACCGGCUAACCAUGUGCCAGCAGCCGCGGUAAUACAUGGGGUGCAAACGUUGCUCGGAAUUAUUGGGCGUAAAGCGCACGUAGGUGGUCCCUUAAGUCGGAUGUGAAAGCCCUCGGCUCAACUGAGGAAGUGCAUCCGAAACUGAGGGGCUGGAGUAUGGUAGAGGGUCGCGGAAUUCCCGGUGUAGAGGUGAAAUUCGUAGAUAUCGGGAGGAACACCGGUGGCGAAGGCGGCGACCUGGGCCAAUACUGACACUGAGGUGCGAAAGCGUGGGGAGCAAACAG
rnacentral:rRNA from 1 species